rnacentral:snoRNA from 1 species
UGAGCUAUGAGGAUAAAACUGUGACCGUGAUAAACCUUGACGACCUUAUACGCUAUUCUGAGCCAUGC